GUUGGCGUGCUUUGGGGUUGGCAUAUGUUAACCCACAUAUGCGAAAGCACUUCUCUACGUACCUGGUGAAUUUUACAAGGAAUAUAAAAGCAUAAAACGUUACUCCUUACUGAAUGCAGAGGGGAGUUUUAACCUCACUAUUUCUAACAUGGAGCCGUCAGAUUCUGCAGUGUAUUAUUGUACUGCUGUGUUUCUUCAUGAGGUCACCUUUGGGAAUGGAACCUUUGUCAUAAUCACAGGUAAAUGAGAUUCCAGCUAUUUUCAUAUUUGCUUUAUUAUAGUGUCAGUAAGAUUAUUCCCUGUAAAAUAAUUUUGACAGUUGAUGUCACGAUCCGGGAAUACUGGAGACGGCGAUCGUGCAGGAAACAAGCAAGGGAAGCCAGGUAAAGACUCCAACAGCAGGACAGUGGUACAGCAGCCUGUGUCUGACACAUUGCAGCCAGGAGACUCUGUGAGCCUGCAGUGUACGAUAGAGACUGGGAGCUGUGCAGGAGAACACAGUGUUUACUGGUUCAGACAUGGAUCAGGAGAAUCCCUUCCUGGAGUCAUUUACAGCCACGGAAACAGCAGUGAUGAGUGUGAGAAGAGCCCUGAGGCUGGAUCUCCUACACGGAGCUGCGUCUACAGCCUCCCCAAGGGGAACCUCAGCCUCUCCGAUGCUGGGACUUACUACUGCGCCGUGGCCAUGUGUGGGGAGAUGCUGUUUGGGAACGGCACACAGCUGGAUAUAGAUGGCUUUCAGAAGCUGCUGGAUCCUCUUCACUCUGGCUUGCUGAUAGUUUUAUCUUGCAGCAUUAUUCUGAACGUUGCUCUCAUUUGUAUAAGAUGUAAACUGACCUGUACACACUGUGCAGGUUGUCAUGCCCGGCUCGUCCGCUACUCCUGUGUGCCACGCCCCCUGCUUACCCACGUGUGUUUCCCGGAUCGUACCCAGCUGUGUCCGUUUGCUUUCAAUCAGUCUUGUGUAUUUAAGUCCUGGUCUCCCCAGUUUUCCUUGUCUGUCAUUGAUGUUCGUUGGCGUGAGUAGAUGUUCCCCGUAUCUGUUUCCUGUCCACGAAUAAAUCCCCAGUAUUUCCCGACUUUGCCUACUUGCCUGUUCCUGCUCGCCUGCCGACCCGCACGAUCGCUGCUUCGCCCGACCGCGGUCGUGACACAGAUGAAAAGAACAGUGAUAUAUCAAAAGUGGAAUGGUCACGCAAGCAAUGCAAUGACGAGGACACACUGAAUUACGCUGCCCUGAACCUUAAGAAGCCAAAACCCAGGAGACAGAAGAAAGACGGGAAUAAUGAC